rnacentral:rRNA from 1 species
CCUUGAAGACGACGAGGUAGAUAGGCUGGGGGUGGAAGUGCAGCAAUGCAUGGAGCUGACCAGUACUAAUCGGUCGAGGGCUUAUCCAAUA